CGCGUCCGGUCCGCUCUACGGGGUCUCUCGGGAGCGCUUUGCAGGGCGGAUGACUGACGGGCCAGCUACCUGCCUUCCUGAGCCUGCAGAGAUAAACAGCCUAUCCUCCCCGUGCACACAGGCCCCGAAGGCGGGCAGGUCUCCAAGUGCAGCACAACUGCCCCGGGCCCGACGCAGCUACCUGCCCGAGGGCUCCCUCCCCACCAGGCCAUCCCUCAGCCGGUCCUCCUCCGACAGCCAACAAGGAACCCCGGAGGCGCGGAGGCGUCUCGCCGCCACCCGGCGGCGCCUGCCAGAGGCCCUUCGCUAUGUCCGCAACCACUUCCGGCUCCUGCGUCGCUCCGGAAGCCUGCGAGUUCCGGAAGCCUUGGUAAUCCAGAUUCGGCUAGGAAAAGACAAGCUUUCCAGAGAAUGUUUCAGAGAAAGUUACGUGGAGUGUGGGCGUUUCGCAGACUCCUAAGUGGUCUGGAACCUAACCUGCAGUGUCUCUGAGCUUCUGGCAAGUAUGAGGCAAGGAUUUCACAGAAGAACUUGGAGCAAAAAUUCCCACUGUCAUAGCUAUAGGCUGUCCAGUCUUGAGGGAGCUGCAGGAACGGGAAAAAGAGACCUUCAGAGACGACAUGGCUUCCAGAAAAGAGAAUGCGAAGAGUGCAAACAGAGUGCUAAGAAUAAGCCAGUUGGAUGCACUUGAACUAAACAAGGCCCUGGAGCAGCUAGUUUGGUCCCAGUUUACUCAGUGCUUUCAUGGAUUUAAACCUGGGCUGUUAGCUCGCUUUGAGCCAGAGGUGAAAGCGUGCUUAUGGGUUUUCUUGUGGAGAUUCACCAUCUACUCCAAAAAUGCCACAGUGGGACAGUCAGUUUUGAAUAUUAAGUACAAAAAUGAUUUUUCCCCUAACCUGAGAUAUCAGCCACCCAGUAAAAAUCAAAAAAUCUGGUAUGCUGUUUGUACAGUUGGUGGGAGGUGGUUAGAAGAACGAUGCUAUGAUUUGUUUCGAAACCAUCAUUUAGCAUCAUUUGGGAAAGUCAAGCAGUGUGUGAAUUUUGUGAUUGGACUUUUGAAAUUAGGUGGGCUGAUUAAUUUUUUGAUUUUCCUUCAGAGGGGAAAGUUUGCAACUUUGACAGAACGUCUCCUAGGUAUUCAUUCUGUAUUUUGCAAGCCUCAAAACAUACGUGAAGUUGGCUUUGAAUACAUGAAUAGGGAACUUCUCUGGCAUGGUUUUGCUGAAUUUCUGAUUUUUCUCUUACCACUUAUCAAUGUCCAGAAGUUGAAAGCCAAGCUGUCUUCAUGGUGUAUUCCUCUUACUGGUGCACCUAAUAGUGACAAUACAUUAGCCACCAGUGGCAAAGAAUGCGCUCUAUGUGGAGAGUGGCCCACCAUGCCUCACACCAUAGGAUGUGAGCAUAUUUUCUGUUAUUUCUGUGCUAAGAGUAGUUUCUUAUUUGACAUGUACUUUACUUGUCCUAAGUGUGGCACAGAAGUACGUAGUCUGCAGCCACUGAAAUCAGGAAUCGAGAUGUCAGAAGUAAAUGCUCUUUAGAAACUAAAAUUGCUUCCUCUGAGGAAAAAAAUGCACCGUGUUUAAAUUCUUAAUAUUAGUCAUCCUAAGUAUACCAUUUGUGUAUCCUUUAUAAGGAAUGUGCUGCCUAGCCACUGUCUUCUCCUUUCCAGACAUGACUGAAUUCUAAUCACUGGAAACCAUGUGAUUCUAAAUAUAUUAUGUAAAUGUUAAUGUAUUAUGUUUUUUAAAUCAUUGCAUUCAAUUUUUAAUGUCAGGAAUAAUGGACAGCUUUUGUCAGGUGACUACUAACAGUGCUCCUUCAUUUUACUACUUCUUAAAACAAGGUUGGAUUCUAAAGAUAAAGAUUUUGGAGACUCUGGGAUGAGUGUGCAUUUAUUUUCAGAGUUGACAUAAUAUGAUAAUGUGACAAUUAUGAGACUGUUUUAAACCUUAAGACCUGAUGCCUCAGCUGUAACUUUUUUUUUUUUUUGAGACGGUGUCAUGCUUUGUCACCCAGGCUGGAGUGCAGUGGCGCGAUCUCUGCUCACUGCAACGUCUGCCUCCCAGGUUCAAACAAUUCUCCUGCCUCAGCCUCCCAAGUAGCUGGGACUGCAGGUGCAUGCCACCAUGCCCAGGUAAUUUUUGUAUUUUUAGUAGAGAUGGGGUUCACCGUGUUAGCCAGGAUGGUCUCUAUCUCCUGAUCUGGUGAUCCACCUGCGUCAGCCUCCCAAAGUGCUGAGAUUACAGACGUGAGCCACUGUGCUCGGCCGCCUCAGUUGUAAUGUUAUGCUUUUCUCUGAAGCCAAUUUUUAAGAAGUUCAGUCCUCAGCUGUCUGACCCCUCCACAGUUGGCUUUAUAUUCAGAAAGUAAAAAUUACUUAAGGCAGCUUGGAAGUGAGGCCUGGGAACUACUGGGGGCAACUAGUAUGAACAGCACUAUUUACAGGUCUCUUUCUCUUGCCUUUGAUUCAGAGCUCUCAUUCUCAGUAAAUAUUGAUAGUUUUAUUGAAACAAAAGGCGUCUUUAGCACGGGAAUAAUAACAGCAGUGCAUAAUCAAGAUAAUUCUGUAUCCUUCACUCUUUUUCUCUGCCUUUUUUUACUUAAAAGUAAAUUCAGACUCUUAAAAUGGUAUAGAAUUAUUAGCUUGAACAUUGAAUUAUCUCGUCUUAACUAGAAUGUUUUUUAAAAAACACUUUUUAAAUGUUUUUAAAUAAACAUCUUGCUAGUAUGGUGGAAA